UGGAGGCCACUGACCCCGAGGCAGAGGCUGAACCAGUUUCUUGCCAGGAUCUGCUUGUAAUUUAACAGGCCCGAGGGCUGACCGUGGGCAGGAGGGGUGGCCUGGCCUGGCUCCCCCGCGUGCAAACGCUUCACACUUUACUUCUUGCUGGAACAGCAACCUCCCUGCCACUGUUAAGAACGAGUGAUGACUCUUAAGCGUCUGGUCCUCCCCAUGGGCUACAAGGGCCGUCCAGCUAGCGCUCCUGUUACCUGGACACUCCCUAGAGCGAAAGCGGAAAUUGGAAGGCAAGCCCUGUAAUGGCGAGGACUUGAAAAUUGCUUCUAAUUUCCAAGUGUGUGGCAGAGAGAGGGACAGGUGCGUGAUGAUUACUGUGUGAUUCUGCCGCUUUGUAGGAAAAUUAAUCCCGAGGUACUUCUUUUAAAAGUACUUUCUCAAGGUUGUGAACUUGAUUUUUCUCCACCAACACCUUGUAUUUAUUUUGAAUACUUCUUGGGACUUUUUACAU
rnacentral:lncRNA from 1 species